UACGUAGGGUGCGAGCGUUGUCCGGAUUCAUUGGGCGUAAAGGGUGCGUAGGCGGCGCGGUAAGUCGGGUGUGAAAUCUCGGAGCUUAACUUCGAAACUGCAUUCGAUACUGCCGUGCUUGAGGACUGGAGAGGAGACUGGAAUUUACGGUGUAGCGGUGAAAUGCGUAGAUAUCGUAAGGAAGACCAGUGGCGAAGGCGGGUCUCUGGACAGUUCCUGACGCUGAGGCACGAAGGCCAGGGGAGCAAACGGG
rnacentral:rRNA from 1 species